UCCAGAAACAAUCUGAAGUGCAACCUGCCCAGUGGUUUUGUACAAAAGAAAUAACCUUCUUCAAAAAAACUAAAAGGACGCAGUAAACUGACUGUGAUAAUGUAGCAUAAUCACUCGCCAUUUAAUUGAUGGAUAGUAUGAAAGGUUAAACGAAUUCCUCACUGUCUCAGGAAAAGAACUAAAAAAAUUAAAACAGUAGUAAAGAUGCUACUUAAAAUUGUAAGACGAAAAGACCCUAUAGAGCUUAACUACAUACUUCCUGAAAUAUAAAAGGAAGUGAGGUAGUUUAGUUGGGGCGACUAUCUUCUAAAAAAACCGAAGAUGAGCAAAGAGAAUAAGAAUCUUAUUGUAUAAUAAAUAAAUUUAACAAUUAUAAAAAUAGGCUAUAAUGACCCGUUAAGAAAAAGAGAAAAUUAUAACGAUUAACAGAUAAAAGCUACCUUAGGGAUAACAGGAUAAUUUUGUUUUAGAGACCCUAUCGAAAACAAAGUUUGUCACCUCUAUGUUGAACUGAGAUACCCCAAUAAAGCAGAAACUAUUAAAGGUAGGUCUGUUCGACCUUUAAAAU
rnacentral:rRNA from 1 species